rnacentral:rRNA from 1 species
UAAUACAGAGGUCCCAAGCGUUGUUCGGAUUCACUGGGCGUAAAGGGUGCGUAGGUGGUGAGGUAAGUCGGAUGUGAAAUCUCCGAGCUCAACUCGGAAAUUGCAUUGGAAACUACCUUGCUUGAGGGUUGGAGGGGGGACUGGAAUGCUUGGUGUAGCAGUGAAAUGCGUAGAUAUCAAGCGGAACACCAGUGGCGAAGGCGAGUCCCUGGACAACACCUGACACUGAGGCACGAAAGCUAGGGGAGCAAACAGGAUUAGAUACCCUGGUAGUCCUAGCCGUAAACGGUGCACGUUUGCUGUAAAAGGAAUCGACCCCUUUUGUGGCGAAGCUAACGCGUUAAACGUGCCGCCUGGGAAGUACGGUCGCAAGAUUA